rnacentral:misc_RNA from 1 species
CGUGUUAAGCCCUGUUUGGUUCCAUGGGCUAAUGUUUAGCCCUCAAGGAUCCAAACAGGUGGGCUAAUUU